rnacentral:rRNA from 1 species
CAGUCGCCGCGGGAAAACGUAGGUGGCAAGCGUUGUCCGGAAUUAUUGGGCGUAAAGGGCUCGCAGGCGGUUUCUUAAGUCUGAUGUGAAAGCCCCCGGCUCAACCGGGGAGGGUCAUUGGAAACUGGGAAACUUGAGUGCAGAAGAGGAGAGUGGAAUUCCACGUGUAGCGGUGAAAUGCGUAGAGAUGUGGAGGAACACCAGUGGCGAAGGCGACUCUCUGGUCUGUAACUGACGCUGAGGAGCGACAGCGUGGGGAGCAAACAGGAUUAGAUACCCGAGUAGUCCCUGUCUCUUAUAC